UAAUUUGUCCUAUGACAGAUUACAAUCAUGAUGUCUACUAGGAGAAUCAAUUUUUACUAAUAGAGAUUACAAUCCUAUUCUCUCCUGGGACAAAUUUAAAUUUUACUGAGGGAGAUACUAACAUUGAAUAUUUGAAGAGGUUGUGUGCUUUCGAAAAUAUGAUGCAAAGUCAUUCCCUCUAUGAUAACGUGACCGGUUAUUUCAUUCCUACUAUUUUCAUUCCCAGUAAAUUCAUUACCUGUAAAAAUCAUUCCCAUACAUUUCAUUCCCCCUUUGAAGAGGGAUAAUUAGUGACGUAAUACAGUUUAUGUUUCUACACUUGUUAGGAGUUUUUGUGUAGGGCUUUAGCCGGAUGGCUUGGCACUGGGCAGUCAGCACUGGAGAUGAGUGAUGAAUUAUGAUUAGUGGUGGGUGAGAGACGGAUAUGAAUGAUUUAUGGUGUUUAUGGAUUAGAAAUGACGUCGACAUAAAUCUUUAAUAGUUAGUCGAAAUUGAAUUCAAAUCCGUUGAUAUUAUUGAUACUUUGUGAAAUACAAGUAAAUGCCGUCAUUACUCUUUCUCUUCUUCAUCGUCUAUUACUACUCGCUUCUACUCCUUUUCAUCCAUCCACAAUCAUCAAUUUCAUCAUCCUCUUUUCUCUUCCCUUCCUCUUUUCAAUUCAAAUCUAUGUAAACAAUAACUAUAAGCAAAUUUCUCGGGCCCCUAACUCCCUUCUCCGGAUCACUUACUCUUCCCUGCUUCAAGCUCAACUCUGGAUCGAAUCCUACAAGUUACAACAAUCAUCAUUAUUCAUAUGAUCAUGCUGGGUCUAAUAAUAGAUUUCUAGAAUACAUCAUUCAUCCUUUUCAUAUCUCAUCACAAAUGUUCAAACUUCAAUACGUAGGUUUCAAUGCAUUUUGAAGGAGACACGGAAUACUACUCCUAUGGUCCGUUGCAAAGAAUCAUUCAAAUUAAUAUGCAGUCAAUUACUUCAUCAAGAAGCCAUGGAAAUGAUUUUACUAGAGUUAUAGAACUAGAUCAAGAUGUGAACCUCGUCCAUGAAAAUUUUGUUGUGCUCACUUCGAUCCUUCACUUGUACUUUCCUCACUCUGCCUCGGGAAAACAACUCUGGUAUUUGUAGCAAUUAACCAUCUUCAUAUUACUGGGAAGAUUUCGGAUCCUAACGAAUGGAAGUACAAACAUUAUUUCAAGACCCUUCUCAAAUAAAACAUGAUUUUUAGUAGGCAAUAAAUAUAAUAAGCCGAUUGAUCUGUUGAGUUGAAGAUUGAAGAGGAUAAGGAGAUCUUCACAUUUUGAGGUUUAUGGUUGAAAUAUCAUAUAUUAUAUAACUUAUAUAAUAAUAACUGUAAAUUUUAUUUCAAAGUCAAACUCAGAAAGUCCAUCCCUAGGAUAGACAUCGAACAUCGUUAAUUAUGAAAUUAUAAGGAACUUUCUUCUGAAAGAGCGAAUCGAAAUAGAUUAUAUUAAUUCUUGUUUUUUGUAAAUAUAAAUGAUAAAAAUAUACUUAAAGUCAAGAA
rnacentral:lncRNA from 1 species